CUUGCCCCUAGAAGUCUUUCAGGUGUGGCUUCUGUGUCCCAUGUGAAUCAGGUGGCAGAGAGGAGAGAGGGCAUGUCUAUGCUCAGUAUUCUGACUUAUGGACAUCUGAAUGAUUAGUAACCUAACAUU